rnacentral:rRNA from 1 species
AGCGAACGCUGGCGGCAGGCCUAACACAUGCAAGUCGAGCGGUUGAGGUAGCUUGCUACCGAUGCAGCGGCGGACGGGUGAGUAAUACAUGGGAAUCUGCCUGGUAGUGGGGGACAACGUUUCGAAAGGAACGCUAAUACCGCAUACGCCCUACGGGGGAAAGGGGGGGAUCGCAAGACCUCUCGCUAUCAGAUGAGCCC